CGAUAAGACGAUCUAACUUGAUCAUUUAGAGGAAGUAAAAGUCGUAACCAGGUUUCCGUAGGUGAACCUGCGGAAGGAUCUUAA
rnacentral:ncRNA from 1 species